rnacentral:rRNA from 1 species
GAUGAACGCUGGCGGCGUGCCUAAUACAUGCAAGUAGAACGCUGAAGGAGGAGCUUGCUCUUCUGGAUGAGUUGCGAACGGGUGAGUAACGCGUAGGUAACCUGCCUGGUAGCGGGGGAUAACUAUUGGAAACGAUAGCUAAUACCGCAUGACAACAGUUAUUGCAUGAUAACUGUUUAAAAGGGGCAACUGCUCCACUACCAGAUGGACCUGCGUUGUAUUAGCUAGUUGGUGAGGUAACGGCUCACCAAGGCGACGAUACAUAGCCGACCUGAGAGGGUGAUCGGCCACACUGGGACUGAGACACGGCCCAGACUCCUACGGGAGGCAGCAGUAGGGAAGCUUCGGCAAUGGACGGAAGUCUGACCGAGCAACGCCGCGUGAGGGAAGAAUGUUGUCGGAUCGUAAAGCUCUGUUGUAAGAGAAGAACGAGUGUGAGAGUGGAAAGUUCACACUGUGACGGUAUCUUACCAGAAAGGGACGGCUAACUACGUG